UAGGGAAUCUUCGGCAAUGGACGAAAGUCUGACCGAGCAACGCCGCGUGAGUGAAGAAGGUUUUCGGAUCGUAAAACUCUGUUGUUAGAGAAGAACAAGGACGUUAGUAACUGAACGUCCCCUGACGGUAUCUAACCAGAAAGCCACGGCUAACUACGUGCCAGCAGCCGCGGUAAUACGUAGGUGGCAAGCGUUGUCCGGAUUUAUUGGGCGUAAAGCGAGCGCAGGCGGUUUCUUAAGUCUGAUGUGAAAGCCCCCGGCUCAACCGGGGAGGGUCAUUGGAAACUGGGGGACUUGAGUGCAGAAGAGGAGAGUGGAAGUCCAUGUGUAGCGGUGAAAUGCGUAGAUAUAUGGGGGAACACCAGUGGCGAAGGCGGCUCUCUGGUCUGUAACUGACGCUGAGGCUCGAAAGCGUGGGGAGCAAACAGG
rnacentral:rRNA from 1 species